AUCAAAGCAAGCCUUAACAUGCCACUGUACACCUUCUCUAUGGGCAUCUGAUGCUAAACUCACCCACUAUGAGCUUUACUGCAUUUUUAAUGAACAUUUGAAUUCUCCACUUCCACCCAGCAGACGUUAGGUUAGACAGAGUGCUGAGGCAGGUGUCAUAGGAUGUCUGAGACAUCUACAUUGCACUGGCAGAUAUGACCUGCCUCCUCUGAAGAUGCAGCUGGAGAUCAGCCAGGAUACUGAGGAGCAGCUACCAUCACGCAAGGCAUCAGUGCCAGCACAAAGAGGAUAAAUUCAGGCAACUGAGCUGGAGUCCAU
rnacentral:lncRNA from 1 species